UCUAUUUUUAUAUUAUAUAAUAAAUAAAUAAUAAAAUUUAUAAACUCAUGGCUAAGAAUGAGCCAUGUCUUAGUUCCAUGAUAGUUAACACGGAAUCGAGUUUAUUGGAUUAUUUUUCAUGUACCUAGAACCACUACUGGGAAAAUAUAUAAAAGAUUAUUAGGUCAAGCAUGUUUCCAUAAUAAUCAUGCCUCAUUCCUUGGCCAAUUUAGCUCUCGGUACAAUAUCAUUUAAAUCCCAAUAAAUAAAAAGUGUAUCAUGCUUGAAUCUACGAGGGGUUCACGGUGGAGAAACUGGAUUGGAAAAAGAAGGGUAUAAUCCUAGUUAAUUUAUAAAGUGAAAAUCAUGACAUGAUCUUGUAUAAAACUCCAAGACCCAACUAAAUAUAAUUUUAAAUCACAUGAAUUCAAAAUUAUUCUUAGUCUUAUAUUUGUGGAAAUCUUUUGACAAAUUUCUUUUUGGUAAGACAUUUGGAUUGGAACAUGGCACUUUGAAAGGUGAACUUCACAAGCCAACAUUAAGAUAGUGCGUGGCACUUCAAAAGGAAAACUCCAUGGGCCAGCUUUAGAACGGGAUGUUUUGACACUAUGAUCAUCUCAAAGGGAAUUCUUGAUGAGACAUUUGGGUUGAAGUGUGGAAACCUUGAAAGGUGAACUCCAAAUGCCAGCUCUAAGAUGGAGGGUGGCACCUAGUAAGAUGAACUCCAUAGGCCAACUUUUAGACGUGCUUAAUACCUUGAAAGGUCAUCUCUAUGGUUGAUUUAAGAUGAGGGUGCUUUGUGAGUGUCAUUCCAUCAUAGGUUGAACUAAAUUGGCUAAACACUUGGUUGAGGUGUGGUACGUCUAAAAGUGGACUAUGCGAGCCAAUUCUAAGAUAGAGUGUGGCAUCUUAAAAAAAUGAAAUCCAUGGGUGGAUCUUAUAAUACAAGUGCUUUUGCUAAUGUAAUAACUUCAAAGAGGAAAUCUAAAUGGACAGUUGGUUGGAGCACGAUACUUUGAAAGUUCUUCAAAUGUUGAAGUGGAUAGCAAGUGAUGCAAAAAGGUCGUGGAAGAAGUUUGUGCAAAUCACUUGAGCACAAAACAAGUAGUUGAAAGAUUGCGGUACUUCUCAUGCUGGAUAUAUGUAUACAUGUCGAAGUUACACGUUAUUGGGGGCCAAAAAAAACUAGAGGAAAUAACUCAUGUGGGAGCACGGUUGACCCUCUUUUAGCACUUGCUGCAUCAGCCUUGUGUUUUGACAAUUGUUUUGCCAUUAGCUCCAUUAAGUGGAGGCACCCAUUGACAAGAAAAGGGCUAGGCAUGCAUCUGCAGGUUUUAGACAGGCUCAAUUCUUCAGUUGAUCUGGUGAGAGAGGUACAAAAAAACUUAGUUUGAGGAACUAGAGCACUCUUGGUACGGAAAAGACUGGUUCAAGGAACCUGACUAAUCCCUAUUUGAAAUCUAACUCACCCACCCAAGGCAUCCACACUGGGCAAUUGUGAACCUUGGGAUCUUCAUAUGCAUGCAGUGUUCUGGAAUCCAUAGAAGUUUGGGGGUACACAAGGUCAUACCUUAUUUCUAAAAGGUAUAUCUUUUAGAGAAAAAAAAUUGGCUCCUUUUUCGCUUCUGUAUAUCUUUAAAUUUGUGGUUUCCAUUCUGUUUUCUCCAUGGAUAUUACCAGAUUCCAUGUUGCAAUCAUAUAUACUUGCUUUUAUAACCACUCCAUGAAGCAGCUGGUUGUAUAAGAUUGCAGCUUUAAGGUCAAACUUUAGCAAUAUAUAGGUUUGAAAUUAUCUUUCAAAUACAAUUUCAUUUUCACCCA